GCUUGUCUCAAAGAUUAAGCCAUGCAUGUCUAAGUAUAAACAACUUUAUACUGUGAAACUGCGUACAGCUCAUUAUAUCAGUUAUAAUUUAUUUGAUGGUGAUUUACUACAUGGAUAACCGUGGUAAUUCUAGAGCUAAUACAUGCACCCAAACCCGACUCCGUGGAAGGGUUGUGAUUAUUAGUUACAGAACCAUCCCAGGCUCGCCUGGUCGUGUGGUGAUUCAUAGUAACCCAACGAAUCGAAUGGCACUCGCCGUCGAUGCAUCAUUCAAGUUUCUGACCUAUCAGCUUCCGACGGUAGGGUAUUGGCCUACCGUGGCAAUGACGGGUAACGGAGAAUUAGGGUUCGAUUCCGGAGAGGGAGCCUGAGAAACGGCUACCACAUCUAAGGAAGGCAGCAGG
rnacentral:rRNA from 1 species